rnacentral:rRNA from 1 species
GAUGAACGCUGGCGGCGUGCCUAAUACAUGCCAGUCGAGCGAACGGACGAGAAGCUUGCUUCUCUGAUGUUAGCGGCGGACGGGUGAGUAACACGUGGAUAACCUACCUAUAAGACUGGGAUAACUUCGGGAAACCGGAGCUAAUACCGGAUAAUAUUUUGAACCGCAUGGUUCAAAAGUGAAAGACGGUCUUGCUGUCACUUAUAGAUGGAUCCGCGCUGCAUUAGCUAGUUGGUAAGGUAACGGCUUACCAAGGCAACGAUGCAUAGCCGACCUGAGAGGGUGGUAGGCCACACUGGAGCUGAGACACGGUCCUGACUCCUACGGGAGGCAGCAGUAGGGAACCUUCCGCAAUGGGCGAAAGCCUGACGGAGCAACGCCGCGUGAGUGAUGAAGGUCUUCGGAUCGUAAAACUCUGUUAUGAGGGAAGAACAGAUGUGGAAGUAACUGUGCACAUCUUGACGGUACCUAAUCAGAAAGCCACGGCUAACUACGUG